UUGACAGUUAUGGCUGCGUAAGAUGUUUUUCAGAGCCUGAAGGACACACUUAGGUGUCAAUAGUAAAUCAGGAAACAAUCGUUGCGGCGCCAGGUGGGAGGGGUAGGCCACCCGCCCUUUCUCUCGCACGCAACUGAAAAGUAUAAUAGAGAGAUGCAGAGUACAAACAGGUAGACUCUGCUGCGGGUUUCAUACGGACGCCCAGCUGGUUGACAAGCAGAGCUCUACCUGGGUGAACGGCUCUCCACCUUCUCAGCAUAGGUAAGUUCAUGCCCGCAGGUCUUGCAGGUUUUCUUGUAGAGGUCCUCUUCCGGAUCCACCACCACCUCUGGUCCGUAUUGGUGUUGGUGAGCGCUGGUGUCUUUGGUCCACAUGCUGCUCCUAACUGCCCGACGCAAUUCUGCCGAACAGACGACAUGGGACAAGGCAUACAACAACAAGGGCCGCCUCCGAACCCCACACCUCCAUACAUCGCUUCUCUACAUGUACUUUAAGGUCAAAGCUGUUGCUGAGGUAGGAGUCCAUAAAGGGCUUCUGACAAUCAUCGCAAAAAAGGUAGUCUGGCUCAAUGACUGGGGCUGCGAAACAAGACACAGUACAUGAGAAGAAGAAGAAGAAAACAACGCGCAC